GACGAACGCUGGCGGCGUGCUUAACACAUGCAAGUCGAACGGAAAGGCCCUGCUUGCAGGGUACUCGAGUGGCGAACGGGUGAGUAACACGUGGGUGAUCUGCCCUGCACUUCGGGAUAAGCCUGGGAAACUGGGUCUAAUACCGGAUAGGAGCCAUUUUUAGUGUGAUGGUUGGAAAGUUUUUUCGGUGUAGGAUGAGCUCGCGGCCUAUCAGCUUGUUGGUGGGGUAAUGGCCUACCAAGGCGGCGACGGGUAGCCGGCCUGAGAGGGUGGACGGCCACAUUGGGACUGAGAUACGGCCCAGACUCCUACGGGAGGCAGCAGCGGGGAAUAUUGCACAAUGGGCGCAAGCCUGAUGCAGCGACGCCGCGUGGGGGAUGACGGCCUUCGGGUUGUAAACUCCUUUCGCUAGGGACGAAGCUUUUUGUGACGGUACCUAGAGAAGAAGCACCGGCUAACUACGUG
rnacentral:rRNA from 1 species